rnacentral:rRNA from 1 species
AGCGAACGCUGGCGGCAGGCCUAACACAUGCAAGUCGAACGAAGCCUUCGGGCUUAGUGGCGGACGGGUGAGUAACACGUGGGAACGUACCUUUUGGUUCGGAAUAACGCAGAGAAAUUUGCGCUAAUACCGAAUGAGCCCUUAGGGGGAAAGAUUUAUCGCCGAAAGAUCGGCCCGCGUUGGAUUAGGUAGUUGGUGUGGUAAAGGCGCACCAAGCCUACGAUCCAUAGCUGGUCUGAGAGGAUGAUCAGCCACACUGGGACUGAGACACGGCCCAGACUCCUACGGGAGGCAGCAGUGGGGAAUCUUGCGCAAUGGGCGAAAGCCUGACGCAGCCAUGCCGCGUGAAUGAUGAAGGUCUUAGGAUUGUAAAAUUCUUUUACCAGGGACGAUAAUGACGGUACCUGGAGAAAAAGCCCCGGCUAACUUCGUGCCAGCAGCCGCAGUAA